rnacentral:rRNA from 1 species
GUGGGGAAUAUUGGACAAUGGGGGGAACCCUGAUCCAGCCAUGCCGCGUGUGUGAAGAAGGCCUUUUGGUUGUAAAGCACUUUAAGCGAGGAGGAGGCUACCGAGAUUAAUACUCUUGGAUAGUGGACGUUACUCGCAGAAUAAGCACCGGCUAACUCUGUGCCAGCAGCCGCGGUAAUACAGAGGGUGCAAGCGUUAAUCGGAUUUACUGGGCGUAAAGCGCGCGUAGGUGGCCAAUUAAGUCAAAUGUGAAAUCCCCGAGCUUAACUUGGGAAUUGCAUUCGAGACUGGUUGGCUAGGGUAUGGGAGAGGAUGGUAGAAUUCCAGGUGUAGCGGUGAAAUGCGUAGAGAUCUGGAGGAAUACCGAUGGCGAAGGCAGCCAUCUGGCCUAAUACUGACACUGAGGUGCGAAAGCAUGGGGAGCAAACAGGAUUAGAUACCCGAGUAGUCC